AGCGAACGCUGGCGGCAGGCCUAACACAUGCAAGUCGAACGAACUCUUCGGAGUUAGUGGCGGACGGGUGAGUAACACGUGGGAACGUGCCUUUAGGUUCGGAAUAGCUCCUGGAAACGGGUGGUAAUGCCGAAUGUGCCCUUCGGGGGAAAGAUUUAUCGCCUUUAGAGCGGCCCGCGUCUGAUUAGCUAGUUGGUGGGGUAAUGGCCCACCAAGGCUACGAUCAGUAGCUGGUCUGAGAGGAUGACCAGCCACAUUGGGACUGAGACACGGCCCAAACUCCUACGGGAGGCAGCAGUGGGGAAUCUUGCGCAAUGGGCGAAAGCCUGACGCAGCCAUGCCGCGUGUAUGACGAAGGUCUUAGGAUUGUAAAAUACUUUCACCGGUGAAGAUAAUGACUGUAGCCGGAGAAGAAGCCCCGGCUAACUUCGUGCCAGCAGCCGCCGUAACAC
rnacentral:rRNA from 1 species